AGAGUUUGAUCAUGGCUCAGAACGAACGCUGGCGGCAUGCCUAACACAUGCAAGUCGAACGCUCUUGGGGCUUCGGUUCCAAGGGAGUGGCGCACGGGUGAGUAGCGCGUGGGAACCUGCCCUGCUGUGGGGGAUAACCGAGGGAAACUUCGGCUAAUACCGCAUACGCCGGUUGUCUUGAAAGAGAUGGCCGGGAAAGAUUGAUCGCAGCAGGAGGGGCCCGCGUCGGAUUAGGUAGUUGGUGGGGUAACGGCCUACCAAGCCUGUGAUCCGUAGCUGGUCUGAGAGGAUGAUCAGCCACACUGGGACUGAGACACGGCCCAGACUCCUACGGGAGGCAGCAGUGGGGAAUAUUGGACAAUGGGCGCAAGCCUGAUCCAGCAAUGCCGCGUGAGUGAUGAAGGCCUUCGGGUCGUAAAGCUCUUUCGCACGCGACGAUGAUGACGGUAGCGUGAGAAGAAGCCCCGGCUAACUUCG
rnacentral:rRNA from 1 species